GAGUUCUAUGAUUUAGACAAAUGUCAUAAACUAGCACAACAAAGUUACUAAUUUAAAUAAUAAAUAAUGGUUGAAAAAAUAUUGCUAUUGUUAUUAAUGAAUGAAUAAUAAUUAUUCUUUGGAAAAGCUUACUUCUUAAAGAUGUUGAAAGAAGGUAACUUAUUUAUCAUGUUUUUUUUCAUAAUUUCUAGUCACUACAGGCCCUAAGAACGAAUUUCUUAGAAAGUAGUCCUUAUUUGAAAAACAUGCUAAAAUAUGGAAGAAAUAUGAAGCGAAGUUAAAUAUCGAAAAAAACUUCAUUUAUCAUAUUACAUUACUGAUCAGUUGUGACCAAUAACAUUAGAAGUUAAGUGACGCGGACUUUUAAGAUUAAAUUCCUACAUAAAGAUUUUCCUCCAACCAAACGUUAUAUUAAGCAAUUUGGACAUUGCCGAAGAAGAUAAGAUCUUGAAAUAUCUUUUCACAAGCAAUAUGGAGAUUGAAGAUGAGUAUUUGAAACUCUAGUAUCGUUCAAGAACUUUACCAUUAUUUUUAUUCUACACAUUGUUAAAAGUUAACUUGUAAUCAAAUAUCAGCUGAAAAUAUUUUGAAAGAAUAGGAAAAAUAGAGUGAGGAAAUUCAUAUAAAUGCAGAUAAUUAUAUUCAGAAUCUAAGAUACUUACAAAAUAGACUACUUGAAAAGGGCAAUAAAAAAUCUACAAUUUAUACUAGCUACUAUAGAAGUUACUCGAAACUGUUUCAUAAGUAGAAAGUACAAAAGCACCACAAAACAAGAACAGGGCACAUAAUGAGAUCUAAUGAGAAGAAUCACUAAUUGUUUUGCUUCAUGGCCAAGGAAUGUUCAGAAAUACCAGUAGAAUAACAAUUUACAUUUAGGAAACAAUAACCAGAAGUUACAAUACAAUCUUAUAAAAAAUUAAAUUCAUUUCAAGAAAUUCCAUUGCAUUUAACGAAAUUCUCAAUCCAUAUCAAUUGAAUGGAAACUUAUAGGGAAGUAUGGUUUCUUGUUCAAAUAAUGAAAAUUCAAUAGACUGGGAAUUUUUAAGGAAAUUAUUUAUUCAGUUAAAAAUAAAUUUUACAUUUUACAUAAUAAAUAGAUAGGUAUAUUUUUGUAAAGUUAACUUUAUGGAAACUACAGUAAACAAAUCUAUGAGGCUGAGAAUUUAGUACUACCUAACAAGCUGAGACAUUGAGUAUAUGGUUAAUAGAAAUAAAGAAAAUGAUUAAUUGGAUAUAGAAAUAACACAUCUUAUUGAAAAUAUUUGGUAAAAUUUCAAAUAUGAUGUUGAAUUAUUUGUAGAAUAUUAAGUGGAUAAACAAGCAAUAGUAAUGACAACUUUUUAUUCUCAACUAAGUUACUCACUAGAACAAAUAUAAGUAUUCAUUCUAAUUUAUCAUCACUAUUAAGUUGAAUAAUAUGAAGAUAUACAUUUAACAUCCAGAGAUCUUUGGAUACCUAUUAUACUACCAAGAGUACAUUUACAUAGAGAAAUUUAGGGAUUACAAGCUGAUAUCAAAGCAUUCAAUUAGUAACUUUUGUUUACAGAAAUAUGUAUGCUAUUAUUGUUAAUUGUUUUCAAUUUUUGUAUAAUUUCAUUAUCAUAUACAUAUAGAUUUGUUCUUGGAUUUUCUAUAGGUUUGUUUUUUUCGACAGUAAAUUCUUGUUUUCCCAAAUAUACUGCAAGUGGAAGGUCUUUCCAUCUAAUAUUUAGUUGGUAAAAAAUAUGUACAUGAUCCUGAUAUUUGUAAUUAUUGUAGGCUCUAGUAUUUUGAUUUUAAAUUGUUUCCCAUGUAAAUAAUCUGGUUAAUUUUAGUAGUGGAUCAACAAUUUCACUCAAAAUAACUUCUACUGGAUUGGAUCUCUUUUAUUUUCAAUUACCUUUGAAUCUAGGUUGCAUGAAGAGUACCUUUAUAAUCAAUUAUAAAUUUGGCUUAUUGGGUAAUAAGCAAGAAUAAGUUCAAUCAAAACCUUCGAGUUAAUUGUAAGGAAUCAAUAGAAGUUCCUUGCUUAGUAUAAUAACACAACUAACAACUAAUGUUUUGUAUGGAUAUACGAUAUUGUCUAAAAUUAUAUUCUCUACAUAAAUGCAAUGAUAAAUACGUUGUCGAUAUUCCUGAAGUGAAUUGUAACAUCAAUGUUCCCGGGUAUCUGAGUAAAUUUUAUGAGAGUUAUACACAACAAAGUCAUCUGCAUAUAAGAUUAAAUUACAGUUAAUAUCCUCAUAUAGUUAUGAAUAAAGCACAGUUCGCAGAAAUAAUUUUGUAAUGAUAUCCUGAUGUGUUGCAAGUGAUUAGUUUAUAAGAAAAUUUACUAUGAAUGGAUUACAAAUCCAUGAUAGCAUCAAAGACUUCCUGUGAUAAUAUAUCUGCAAGUUAUAUGCCUAAGUAAUAUCAAAUAAGUAUGCUCGCAGAUAAUUUAAAAAAAAUAUUUGUUUUACAUAAUUUUAAGACUUCGUUUGUUCAAAUGUUUUAAUAUGAACAAUAAUUGCAAUGUUACAGGAAGGUAUAAAUGGAUUCUCAUUAAACUUUUUAUUAUUAUUAAUAUCGAUCUUCCUAAACAUCAAUCAUCAUAUAAUUCUUGUAAAUGUUAGGUACCGUUUUUGCAUGUAUAAUUUGUUUGCAACUAAUGAUUCAUCAAAUUGUUUAUUAAAUAAACCGUCUUUAUAUUGGGACACACUAGAAAUAAUGAAGUUUAAUUGGGAUCAUAAAAUAUCCCAGUAUAGUGUCAACUACAAAUCAUCUUAGGUUCAUGAAAAUAUUAUUUGUUUUAAAUAAAUUAACGCUCUCUUGGCGAGAUGGAUCUUAAAUACUAAAUUGACAUGAUUCAUAAAAUAAUAAUGGCAAGUUUACAUUUUACACAGGUACUUGAUAAGGUUUGAAUAUUAUCUUUUUUGAUGAAAAUAGUAUAAAUGUUUAAGGUAUAAGGCCACAAAAACGUGGUGUUUUGAAAAGAAUAUAAAUUUGUAAUAUGAUAGUGGAACUUAGAUAAAUGGUUUUUAGAAAAGAAGAAAAUAAAAUAUUCAAUUUCAAAAAUAAACAUAUUGAGACAUAAUUCCGAAUUGUUUAUUGCCAGCAUAUAUAAGGAUAUGAAAGGCACCCGAUAUAGGUGGUUUGUCGGUACCGGACACUAUUUGAUUUUUAAGUGUUUUAUUUGAAAUGUAACUUUUUCAUAUUAAAAUUAGUAGGAAGAAGUUGGAACACUAAGAAUUUGUUUUGAAAGUUCAUAAAAUCAAAAUUGAUUCGCGAAAAAUACGAUUCGUUUUCUUAACCGCUGACACUGUUUUCAUCAUUUGAAUAAAUUUUAUCACACAAGUGUUGUUUUUUGAAAACAGUUUGUAAUUGCUGGGGGCAAAAUCUAGAGAAUGUAGCGGAUACUAAACUAAUUUUAAAGUCUGUCUGAGCUUUUCUGAAUUGUGGUCUCUAAAAUAUAGUUAUGGAACCAUGACUCAUCUAUUGUUACUAAGCAUCUGAGAAAAAUAUGACCGCAAAUAUAUGUUGGAAUUUGCUUUUGUGCAUCUGAUAAUAUUAGUGAUACCCAGCUUAAAGGCAAUUUUAUCUUUUUCAGUUCGGCAGUAUUUGUAUUAUUUGCCACAUUAAAAGAGAAGCCUACAGUCUCCAAUAAUCUCUUGAUCUUGCAACACAAAUUCAUACUCUUUUUUUAACACUUUCAUGUGCGAGUGCUCCACUUACAUGUUCGUCGAUCUACUAGAUUUAAAAUAAUGCCGUCAUCUUCUCAUUAUGCAGAUCUCUUUGUAUCCAACAAAUCUUUGUAAAUUUGCAGUGGGGUCAACUCUUAUGGUUACAAUCGAUUUCGAUACCAAGAUGUGACUCUCAAAUUUUAACUUCUACGAGGCAUGUUUCAACUAUCAAGUUCUAGAGUUUAGACAAAAGAGGUUACAUACGAGGUAUGAUCAAAAUAAAUUUGACCCAUAUCUUGUUUAUUAUUCGUUGAAAAUAUUGUUGGUGUUUAGGAUUAAUUUGAGCUUAUUAACAAAUUAUUAAUUGACGUUGAUAUUUCCUGAUAUACAAAUAGCUCAUAGUCAAAAUACAGUCUGCUUUAGCUAUAAGAAGACUGUUUUUAAUUUUUAAUACAUAAAAAAACAAACAAGUAAAAAUUCAAAUUAUUCAUAGUUUAAUAGUUUCCAAUAAUUGUAAAUCAAAACAUUUAUUGUCAUAUAAACUAUUUUUCAACUAAUUUGAAAAACUUUAAGUGACAAAGAAAUUUAAAGUGCCAAAUUAAAAAAUUAUCGUUAAUUUGUUUUUGCCUUCGUCAAAAAAUAAAAUAACAGCCAUUCAUUAUUGUUAAUUAUAUUAUAAUUGUUAUGAAUAAUAAAUAUUGACAAAAACCUGUUCAUUCAACAACAGAAGGUCAUUUAGUAAUAUUUGCACUUUACAUGUUCAAAACUGGAAAUUAACCCGUACAAUGUUAUUUUUGACGUAGAUGAAUAAUUUAUAUACUAUUCUACUAAUUAGAAUAACUCAUUGUCAAUAUAGCAGCUACAGUCUAGGCCACUAAAAAUGUUAGAAACAAUCAUUCAAAUUAUUUUCAACAAAAAUAAAUCUGCAGACAAAAUUAGUAAGUAUAUCAAGAAAUAACUUUCAACGAACGUUUUUGACGUCAAAUUCAAUACAUAUUACUGUGGUGAAUUUUUACAGACACUUUAGCACGCGCUUAUAAUAUUUAGAUGUAAGUUUUUUCAGUUUUGGUAUAAAGUGGCCAUAACUUCGCCCCCAAGAAUCAAAAAUAUUUUAGUUUAUAAAUUGUUUCUUCUAGGAUUGUUUAACAAUGGUGAGAAACUAUAAGCGCAAUAUGCUUGGUCGGAAGAAAGCAUGACAGCGGCCAUACAGGAUGUCAGAAAUAAUAUUUUGAGUAGAAAAAAAGCUACAACUCAAUAUGGAGUUCCUUUGACAACACUUCGGAGAAGAAUCAAUUCAAAUAAGGAUCCCCACGAAGCUUCAAAAAAGAUAUUUGGCCGAUUUAAGCCAGUUUUCUCUAAUGCAUAAGAGAAGGAACUUGUCGAUUUUAUCUUACUCAACUUGCAUUCCAGUUUGCCAAAAAAAAAUAAAAUCCCUCAUAAUUUUAACCAGGAAAAAGGUCUUGCUGGGCGUGACUGGAUCCACAGCUUUUUAAAAAGAAAUCAAAAUAUUUCUGUGAGGUUGCCAGAAUACACUUCAAUAGCAAAAGCCUCGUCUUUUAAUAAAUAUAUCAACAUUCGUUUUUUAACCUAUAGGGGAAAUUACUUAUGAAACAUAAAUUUCCACACAGUAAGAAAAUUUAACUGCGACGAAAUAGAGGUUUCAAAGGUUCCCAAUAGGUCCUUCCGAAUUUUUUCAUGUAAAGGGAAAAAACAAGCUUAUCUUCGGCUGAAAGAGGAACAUUAACCACUGCAGAAAUUUGCUUUAAUGAUUCCGGAUAUUAUAUUACCCCUCUAUUAAUAUUUCCACGAGUAAGGAAAUGUCAAGCUCUUGAGCAGAAUCUAUUGUUAAAUAUCAUCCAUCAGGAUGAAUGCAAAGUAGCAUAUUUAUUGAUAUUUGGUUUGAUCAUUUCAUAGAGUAUGUUAAGCCAACGAAGGAAGAUUCUGUACUACUGAUAUUUGACAGGCAUGCAACCCAAACUAAAAAUUUAACAUUGGUUGAAAAAGCAUGGGAGAAUAAUGUCCAUCUACUCGUAAUACUACAACAUAUAUCUCACCGAAUACAACCUUUGGAUGUAGCCUUUAUGUUUCCACUCAAUUACGAACAAGAAUUUUUCAAGGUUAUGACGUCAUACAUAUAUUAUUGAAAUUAAUAAAAACCGAAAUAAACUUUAUUAAUAACUUUUAAAUUACAGUAAAUAGUCUAUUAAACCAAAUCUAUUUCUUACAGGAAUUUUUCAAACUGUGACCCAUUCACUGCCAGACAAAGGUCAAGACGAUGGUACACCUGGUUUACUUAGCAUUAGAUCGUCUUCGGAGUUGUAUGAGUCAUUUGAUGUCUAAAUUUUCUGGUUUGUAAACGUAGUCAAUUCUAUUCAAAUGUCCUCAUAGAAAAAAAUCAAAAGGGGUGAGGUCAGGUUAUCUAGGAGGUAUCUCGAGAAACUUUCGAACAUUAAGAGCAUAAUGUGGGGGUUCUCCAUCUUGCUGGAACCAAAUACUGAAGUACAAGUUUUCCCUAUUAUUUGGAUAUGGACAUGCCGCAAUUAGAUCCAGAAGUACUGCUAUACUGUUUUAGUUGCGUGAAAGGUGUCUUCUAAUACAGCAAAAUAUCCAACUUCUCAUCGUCUCCUUAUUUCUGGUCCUUCAGAUUUUGAAGCAUCCGUCAUUCAAAAUUUGUUACGUUAAAUAAAGCACAUGUUUCUUCA